GGCUUUAUAGUCAAUAAUGACAUUAGACUGCAAUUCUAAAGGAGUAUACUUGUACUAAGGCUU
rnacentral:tRNA from 1 species